CCUACGGGUGGCUGCAGUCGAGAAUCUUCGGCAAUGGGCGCAAGCCUGACCGAGCGACGCCGCGUGCGGGAUGAAGGCCUUCGGGUUGUAAACCGCUGUCGUAGGGGAGGAAGAUCCUGUGCAGAACAGGGUUUGACCGAUCCUAGGAGGAAGGGCCGGCUAAUCUCGUGCCAGCAGCCGCGGUAAUACGAGAGGCCCAAACGUUAUUCGGAAUUACAAGACUUAGAGGGUUCGAUGAAGACAAGGAAAGGAAAGCCCUCGGCUCAACCGAGGAAGUGCGCUCUGAACUGUCGUGCUUGAGGAAUCUAGAGGUGAGCGGAACUGAUGGUGGAGCGGUGAAAUGCGUUGAUAUCAUCAGGAACACCGGAGGCGAAGGCGGCUCACUGGGGAUUUUCUGACGCUGAGGAACGAAAGCCAGGGUAGCGAACGGGAUUAGAUACCCUAGUAGUC
rnacentral:rRNA from 1 species